rnacentral:rRNA from 1 species
UACGUAGGCAGCAAGCGUUGUUCGGAAUUACUGGGCGUAAAGAGUGUGUAGGCGGUGCUCUAAGUUUGGUGUGAAAUCUCCCGGCUCAACCGGGAGGCUGCAUCGAAUACUGGAAUGCUAGAGGGUGGGAGAGGUAAGCGGAAUUCCUGGUGUAGCGGUGAAAUGCGUAGAUAUCAGGAGGAACACCUGUGGUGUAGACAGCUUACUGGACCACUUCUGACGCUGAGACACGAAGCGUGGGUAGGCAAACAGG